AUUUUUAAAGUCUGGUUCUCUAGAGACAAGUUGAUGGGCGAUACAGGAUUUUGGAAAGCUUUUUAUUGCUAAGGGAAGCAAAACAAAAAAAAGAUCUCCACCAAGCUGACGUGCCUUUCGUAAGGAUUUUGGUGGAAGAACUUGAAGCAAAUCAACACUAGCAAAGGAGAGGAGCAGAAAGACUUGGAAAUUACAGCAAAUGAGAAGUUUAUCCUUUGAGGAGUUACUUCUUUAAGACCUGUUCUGAGCACAUAAAGGAUGCAGGCCACUUCCUAGGAUAGGAAACGCCAGUUGAUGUUACUGCUGUGCACCGUGGUUGCGUACGUACCCUGAUCAUGCUGUGGCUUCACAGGUGUCCCAGGCUGCAUGUGCUUUGAAGGCUUUCAGGUGGCUCUCCAGAGUCCCCUCAUCACUCCUUCGUACGCCGUCAGAGCACAUCACCUACCUUUGGAGCUGUGGGGAAAGGGCUGCUCGGUGCUGCCUCGGGCUGUCCUACCGUCACAGCUUCCCAAGCGAAGGUGUUUCGCUUCUCACAUGGGAAGCAAAGCAACAAUCUUGUAUCAGAAUCAGCGUUUUUCAGUCUCUUCUCCCCUCUGGGGGAAAAAAAACCCUUGUUUCUACCACAGCUGGAGCAAUCAGUGGUCCUCACGCCCAGCCUGGUGCUGCCUGGCUCUUGGCAAAGGGCAGCCUGGAUGGAGCUGGAGGUGCUGGAAACCACCAGGGCUUGCUGGCCUUUGCCAACACACAGAACAUCAGUUUGUUCCAGCUGUGUGUGAAGGCUUUUCUCCAGGAGAGGAUCAAGGUUUAAACUCAAGCCUUCGCUCUCCAGAGCUGAAGGAAAGCGAAGCUCUGCAUGUGAUGGGACAGCCAGCAUUGGGCUGAGCUUAGCUCUGUGCUCUGGGUCCUCCACUCAUGCAUUUCUAGUCCAGUAUGUAGGUAGAACUUCCAUUUCUAGUCCAGUACGUAGGUAGAACUUUCUCUCCAUCUCUUUCCUCCCUAUUUAAAGAAGGGAAAGGCCGUUGAGCUAGAGCAGAAGCCGUGCUCAAGCUGAGCUGGCAUGUCUCUCUGUAGGUGGGGUGAAUGCAAGGGGGAAGGGGAGCAGUUAGCAAAGCCUUGUCUCUGGUCUGCUUUGUUGUUAGACCAGCCACCAUCUUGAGCUCAGUCACGCAGGACAUGUCUUCCCCAGCACAGGUGAAACUCAGUGAGCCCAAUCCCACUUUCCAUUUCUCUAAGACAAUUUCCAAAGCUACCGUGCACCUCACUCUGCAGCAGUUUGAUUCAGCAUCCCUGGGAAAAACACUACUGCUCCUGGGUCUGGACCUCGUGUGGUGGGUACCAUCCUAGGUCUUUACACCCUCCUCCAUCCUGCAGUGAGCUGUGUCUCCCAAUUCCACGUCCAGCUCCAGUCCCAGGAGAGCUUACCCUUGGUGGGUGGCAGUGCCAUGUCAAACCAUGAGAGAUCAGACUGUUAGAAACACCUAACAAGAGUCAGGUGAGGAGAAAUAGGGGGCUGAGCUCCUCUGCUGCCACUGUGUCCAGUGGGAUACCUUUGCCAGCUGAGCUCAACCCUGUGCCUGUCUCCUUGGUAAAAAGACCAGGUGAACUAGUGUUUAUUUUAGUGCACAAAUAAGUUUCUUUUUUUUUGCUUUUUUGUCACUUCCAACAGUCUUACCUCUUUUUCAUAGAAUCAUAGAAUGGUUUGGGUUGGAAAGGACCUUAAAGAUCAUCAGUUCCACCCCCCUGCCCUGGGCAGGGUCACCUCCCACCAGACCUGGUUGCUCAAAGCUCUGUGCAGGCUGGUCUUGAACCCCUCCAGGGAUGGGGCAGCCACAACUUCUCUGGGCAACCUGGGCCAGUGUCUCACCAGCCUCACAGGAAAGAAUGUCUUCCUAAUAUCUCAUCUAAAUCUCCUCUCUCAGUUUAAAACCAAUACCCCUCAUCCUGUCGUUCCACUCCCUGCUGUACUGGGACGGGAUCCCACUGGUUGCCUAGCUGUCCCCAGAACACAGCUGGCACCACGUUUUAGCUGAUGGCCUUCUGUGUCUUCAGACCUGUAAACAGGCACUGGGUAAUUCUGUUACCUGCUGCAUCACCCAAGCAAGAAACAACCCCAGAUGUCCUUGUGGGGCAGCUGGAGUCUCAGCAGUUUCCACACUGGUUUUCACUCAUGUUUUGUAGCUGCAAUUGCCAUUUACACUCCUUCCUGCCUGGUGUAUCUGUGGUCUGGUUACUCUGUUGGAAGCCCAUGUGCAGCAUUUUAUGUGAUGAUCCUUUGGUCCAAGGUGCUGAUGUUUUUAUCUGGCAUGCUGUAAGCAGAUAAGUAUGUCCCCUUGAUAUUUUUAUUAUUUUUUUUUUCCCCCCUUAAAAUAAUUGACCCAGGGUCACCCCCUGCGGAGCCAGAGCAGUAUGUGCCCCAACCACUUGCAAUCAAGAAAGAUCAAAGGGGUCUUGUUGUUUCAUGUCGGAGCUAGUUCGGAGCUUUUAUCUCUGGGUAUGUUUUUAGCUGUUUUAGUUUGAACAAAGCUGCUAACUUUAAACGAUUAUAGCCUGUCAGAGAAUCAUUGUUAAGUCACUCAGAUCUGCAUUCAUCGUUGAAAAGGAAGCUUUCAUCCCCGCCACCCGUACACAGUGAACCUUGAAGAAGUGCAAGACUCCUGUCAUCUUCUAAGUGCUCUUAUUGUCUCCAUCCCCAUAUCAGCAGACAUUCUUAUAAUUGUUAAAUUAUCCUUAUAUUGUCUUUUAAGGUGGUAAGUAGCUAAUUACUGGGGCUUCACAACUGCAGUGGCGUUAAGUCCCCCUCUGUCAGGCUGCUUUGGGGUAAAACCACCCAGGUUCUGCACCACUCAGCCCACCCUGUGGUGGCUGCUGGUCCCAAGUGACACAGCAGAGCCACAGAGGAGAGGUCUCACUGACUGAAAAGGUGCUAAUUAAGAAGGUCGUUCGUUAUUAAAGUAACAGAUGGGCCUCACGUUGGCACCCUCUCCAGGAGGAGGUUUCUUUUGGUGGGAACAGAGGAGCCGCGCUGAGCAUCCCUUCCCUGCCUUGGUACUAAAUUUCCUAAUACUGGGAAUUUAGUAGGGUUCAAAUGCAAGGUGUUCAAGGCAGCAGGGAGAACCCAGAGUCCCCAGGAGCUCGUGGGGCCACCAAACCCCACCGUGGGUACAACACUGCACACCCCAAACAUAUGAUGGGGCUGGAGCCACCUCCAGUGAAGGCACAACUCCUGUUUGCACCCACCAGCUGGCUCCUUGGAGUUUAUUUCUUAUAUUAAGAAGCCUGUGAGGUUGGACACCUGGAGAGGGUUGAUUUCUGCACCAGAACAAUCACUACUUUGUGGUGAUUCGUGCCAGAGUGGGUUUGUUUUUAAUACUUUCAAACUGGAGAGGAUCGCUGGCAAACACACAGUACUGUAACAAGUGAUGUGGGUUCAAGCACUAGCAAACCUGGAAACAUGAACUGUUUCUUGGGGCGUUUAUUUGUUAGAACUAUAGGAAAUAAGUUAACUUCUCCCAGGCUCAGACUUUAUUUUGUAGUUCAACCUGAUUAGAAACACUUUUUUUUUUUUUCUCCUUUAAUUUAUUCUUUAACAUGUGCCACUUGGAGAACUCGCACUCCUUACCGUAUCUUUUUAAUAUUCUGAUAUUUUAAAAUGUGUGGUUUAUUGUGUAGAUGUUGGACUGGAAAAAUAUUUCACUGUAAAAUCAAUGCAUGGUUUUAAAAAAAAAAAUGAGGGCUAAGAUGUCAUCAUACGUAAGAACUUUACCUAAAAGUAAUUUGUGGGAGAACUACUGCCGUGUUCUGUGGCAUAUGCAAAGUGCUUGGCUCAGUUUCUGGUCUCUUGGUCUCGGUUUGUUGCCUGACUUGAUGUGACCUUUGCUGGAUUAAACCCCGAAGACUCUCCUUUUCCUUGCUUUUGAUCAGGUUUUGCAACACAAUUUUGCAAUCCUGGUGCUGUCCCUGGGGGAGACCUCAGUGCGGGUUUUGCCCAGCUGGGACCCCGACAUCAAUAAUUUAAAUAUCUUUAUUCCUUCCAAGGAAGUACCCGUGUACAAUCAAGCUCAGACGUGGUUUGCUGCUGUUAUUUCAGUGUAACAAAUCUUUUGUGCACUCCUGUGAGGACAGUCGGGGGGUUGUAAUCCAUGGACAGAAGCUGCAUUUGGGGGGACGUUGAGAUGAAAAUGGGAACGGUCCUUGAGGUUAAUGCCAUUUCCUUCUCCUCCUGCUGAAUGUAAAGACCCAAAUCCACGCUGGUCUGAACUGACACCCCUCCACCAGCCCCAGAGCUGCUGCCCUGGGUUCCUGGUGGAAAGGACUCUGUCUGGGAGAUGCAGUGGUGGCCAAGGUGAAGAGAGCGAGUGGUCUCCAGGCCAGGUGUGCGAGUAGAGGUUGGCAUCUCUUGGGUGGCUCUCGCGUUUUGUGCCACUCGUUCUGCUAAUUGUUUUGAACAAGCAAUCCCUUCUGCACGGCUGAGAUCCUGCUGGAACCAGGAGCUUUGCAGAAUGGAGGUGCAGACCAGGAACCUAACGCCGUGGCAGUGAAUCACGUUAAGCCUGCAAAACUGAGGUGUAUCCAAGGGGAGCAGACCCACAAACUGUACAUCGACCGUUGAAUGCGAUGAUCCUCUUGGGGUUUCUCUUUUUUAUUAGUGGUGUUUGUUUUUGUUUUUUUUAAUUUCCCUGCCUGCUUUCUUGUUGUAUCUUCCCAUAUUUGUGAUCAUUCUAUUCUUAACCUCCCGGGGUGUUUUCAUAAAAUCCCCUCCAUGUAAAUAACUCCGACUUCCCUCUUUCCUGAUGCUUGGGAAAUGAGGAAAAAAAAAGUGUCAAAAGUCACAGUUCUGGGAAUGUUUUGGGGUUGUUUUUUUUUCCUAAAUGGUGUCUCUAGCUAAACUAAUCAGCUAAAGGAGAGCUUCCACUUGGGGUGCGAGUGCAGGUCUCCGUGCAUCUCCGCCUUCCAACGGUGCAGUUGUGAACACUGAAUAUCCCUUCUGUGAAGGCUGCUGGAAUCCAGUUUUGUAUCCUUGUUUCUGCUCACCAUCUGCUUUUUCCUUUCCACUCCGUUUGUAUCUAUCUGGUAAAUGAAUGUCUGCUAAUGGACUGCAAAUACAACCCAUCCUCACGUCGAAACCUUUGGCUUUGGUCUCGUUUCUGCAUGUUUUGGGGACUGGGGCAGCAUCCUGCUUGUGGGCUGAGUUCUGCCCUUGCCUUGCCCCCAGACAUGGUGGGAAAAGGUCUGGAAUCGCAAUAAAAAGGGCUAGACUUGAGUCA
rnacentral:lncRNA from 1 species